rnacentral:snoRNA from 1 species
AAUUCUGUGAUGAGGUUAUUUUUGUAAUAUUUUUUGAAUCUCUCUCACGCCUCAUAGUGAGAAUCAUCAUCCAUCUGCUGAAAAGGGUGAUCUAAUUUCACAAUUU